UAACGUGACCCAACCAGGUGCAUACGAGCCUAAUAAACUAUAAGUACUAGAGAUGAAAAUAUUAUAGCAACUAAAACAGUGGACGUGUUCAUAUUGGUUUGUAUUUUGUUGAACGGAUUUUACUGGGGAUACUUCAUACAGUUAAAAGCGGUUAAACGGAUUUUACAAGGGGUACUCCAUUGCAAACAGAAGCGUUGAACGGAUUUUCGGAUUUUACAAGGGAUACUUCAUACAGAUAAAAGCGGUUGCCGGAUUUUACAAGAGAUACUUCGUUUCAUACGGAUAAAAGUGGUUGACCGGAUUUUACAAGGGAUACUUAGCUGCAAACAGAAAGCGGUUGAACCGAGUUUACAAUGAAUACUUCAUACCGAUCAAAGCGACAUCACUGAAGAAACGAAAACUGUAAUUGCGUAAAAAGAAUUAAGCCGAUAUUUGUCGGGUUGGUUCCGGGAAGUUUCGUUUGACAAUAUGUUGAAUAAAUUAAAUUGAAAAUAGGUUAUAGCAGUGAAUUUGUCAGGUUUGUGCCAGGUAGAUCGAAUUGAAUUGAAGAACCAGGUUGCUUCCUAUUCUAACAGAGUUUACAGGAUUCCACAUUUAGUUAGUGAAUUCGGAUUGGUAUUUAAUAUAAUUUUCGGGGUGCAUUUACAUGACCGAGCAAUAAAUUCAGUUUCUAAUGACCGUACUAUGAAACCAGUUCUUUAUUGAGUUAGUGAAUUCGGUUACAAGCCAGACAGUUAGAGCUAGGCUGAAGCCGGAAAGCCCUCCAAGCUCUCAUAGACGAUACCACAAGUAGACAUUUUAUUAUUUGGAAUACCAUUUGCAGCAGAUAGCAUAGUUUGACAGACACAAUGGGUGAUACAUUGAUGGAAAUGUUAAUUAACGAAGAUGAUGACUCUCAAUCAGAUGACAAUGGACAGAUACAAGUAAGACUGCGACCACCGGAUUACAAAAUAUUAGCCUUUGUUGCUUGUAUCUUCAAUCCCGUAUUUGGUAUGGUAGCCUGGCUGACCAAUAGACGAGCAAAGCUUCUAUUAACAAAUGGUCGUUAUUCAGACGCCAACAUGUGUUACCUUGCAUCCUUUACGUCCAGUUUAUUUGGGAUUUAUUUAACAGGAUUGGUUGUGUUCCUGCUCUUGGUACCUACGAUGAUACCCGCCUCAUGAUGUUAACACCUGAAAAUAUGCAACCGAUAGUGUUCCGCUUAAACUUUUUCUGUGAAUCAAAGUGAAAAUCGUUUAUAAACGCAAGAUACUGCUUUUUAAAUUGUUUCGACAAUCUAUAGUGUACGAUAUGUAUAAAAAUGACGAUAAUACUUUUAAACUAAAAGGUAUAAAUAUUGAUUUGAGGCCUUCUAUUGCUCUCCGGUAAAGACUUCACAAAAGCUAACAAAUUUUAGAUGUACUUUUCAAUUGUAAAUAUUUACUACUUUGUAUUGUAAAUACUAAUUACUUUGUAUUGUAAAUACUAAUUACUUUGUAUUGUAGAUAAUCAUUAUUUGGUACUGUAUUAAACUAUAUGUUA